UACGAAGGGGGCUAGCGUUGUUCGGAAUUACUGGGCGUAAAGCGCGCGCAGGCGGCUAUCCAAGUCAGUGGUGAAAGCCCGGAGCUCAACUCCGGAACUGCCAUUGAAACUGUUUAGCUUGAGGACGAGAGAGGUGAGUGGAAUUCCCAGUGUAGAGGUGAAAUUCGUAGAUAUUGGGAAGAACACCGGUGGCGAAGGCGGUUCUCUGGGCAUGUCCUGACGCUGAGGAGCGAAAGUGUGGGGAGCGAACAGG
rnacentral:rRNA from 1 species